rnacentral:rRNA from 1 species
AUGAGGGCGUCCCUCAUAAUUUGGGAUGAGGCCUCCAUGACAAAGCGCCAGGCAGUCGAGGCCCUGGACAAUAGCAUGAGGGACAUCAUGGGUCAACCUGACCUGCCGUUUGGUGGAAAGACGGUUGUGUUUGGGGGAGACUUUAGACAAGUGCUUCCUGUUGUUCGUAAGGGAACAAGGUCACAGAUAACUGAUGCGACCCUACGUAAGUCUUAUCUUUGGAAUAGUAUGAGACAACUAAGACUGGUCCGUAAUAUGAGGGCUCAGGUUGAUCCAUGGUUUGCUGAUUAUCUUCUGCGUGUUGGGAAUGGCACCGAAGAUACGGUGGAUGAUGGUUACAUACGACUUCCAGAUGAGAUUUGCAUACCAAACACCGGUGAUGACGCCUCUGAUAUUGACAAGCUUAUUGAAAGUGUGUUCCUGAUGCUGCAAGAUGAAAACAUCUCAGAUCCAAACUACAUAACAUCUCGAGCAAUUUUGUCAACUCGGAAUGAGUACAUUGACAAGAUCAACAUGAGGAUGAUUGAGAGAUUUCCUGGGGAGGAGAUGGUAUACCACAGUUUUGAUCGGGCUGAGGAUGAUCCACACAACUACUAUCCUGCAGAAUUCUUAAAUUCAUUAACACCUAAUGGGCUACCUCCCCACAUCCUAAAGUUGAAGAUUAAUUGCCCUAUUAUAUUGUUACGGAACAUUGACCCAGCGAAUGGGUUGUGCAAUGGGACUAGGUUGGUUGUCCGGGGGUUCAUGAGGAAUGCAAUUGAUGCUGAGAUUGUGCUGGGCCAGCAUGCUGGUAAGAGGGUGUUCCUUCCUCGAAUUCCUCUCUGCCCGUCAGACGACGAGAUGUUUCCAUUUAGGUUCAAGAGGAAGCAAUUCCCUAUUAGACUUAGCUUUGCUAUGACCAUUAACAAGGCACAAGGACAAACUAUACCAAAUGUUGGUGUAUACCUCCCUGAACCUGUAUUUUCACAUGGCCAACUCUAUGUUGCUCUUUCUAGAGCUACGUCUAGAAGUAAUCUGAAGAUUCUUACUAUCCCGGGUAAGGAAGAGGAAGGCCGGUCCAACUCCAUUGCAAAAUUUACAAAGAACAUAGUCUACAAAGAAGUUCUCAAUGUGUAG